rnacentral:rRNA from 1 species
UACAGAGGUCUCAAGCGUUGUUCGGAUUCAUUGGGCGUAAAGGGUGCGUAGGCGGAUCGAUCAGUCAGGGGUGAAAUCCCAGAGCUCAACUCUGGAACUGCCUUUGAUACUGUCGAUCUGGAGUAUGGAAGAGGCGAGUGGAAUUCCUGGUGUAGCGGUGAAAUGCGCAGAUAUCAGGAGGAACACCAAUGGCGAAGGCAGCUCGCUGGGACGUUACUGACGCUGAGACGCGAAAGCGUGGGGAGCGAACAGG